AAUCCGUCACAGACGCCCCGUGUAGCCUCUCUCUCUCUCUCUCUCUCUCUCUCUCUCUCUCUCUCUCUAUGCAACCCUGGCCGUGCAGCCCUCUCUCUCCCUCCUUCAAUCCCUACCACCACAAGUAGGGACAACCCGCCCGCUGUCACUCUUCUCUCCCUCAAUCGGUACCACCAACCGUGACCGCCUCCACCCCUCUCUCCCUCAUUCCCUACCACCACGCUGUGCAGCCUCGGAUUGAGCGUUACAGAAUCCGAGCAAGGAAUAUUUGAACAGGUUUUGAAUGGGGACCUUGACUUUUCAUCCGAUCCAUGCCCUAGUAUCUCUGAGAGUGCAAAAGAUUUAGCAUGGAGAAUGCUUAUUAGAGACCCAAAAAAGCGGCUAACCGCCCAUCAAGUUCUGUGCCAUCCAUGGGUUCAGGUUGAUGGUAUAGCUCCUGAUAAGCCUCUUGAUUCUGCAGUUCUAAGUCACAUGAAGCAAUUCUCUGCUAUGAACAAGAUCAAGAAAAUGGCCCUCAGAGUGACUCAAGUUGCUUGUUGAAAUUUGUACUUUAACUACAACUAGUUGAAGGCGAACUUAACCUCAACCCAUUUUUAGAAGCAUUUUGCCCUUGAAAAACGAAUUCAGCAGCAUAAGAAGAAAUGAGUCUCAUUUUUAUUUUCUUUGAUCAAUCUGAAUUUUAUUAGAAAAGGAGUCGGUGAUCUCCACUGUCAUAGCCUUGUUUCAGCUUUCAUCUUUUUAGAUCCUGCUUUUAUGGAUCUAAAAGGAAAUAUAUUACAAUAAAUGUUAUCUUGUUAUUGUAUGGAUAUGUCACUGUUAUGUUUCCACAGUGAACAUGUCUGACCGUAUAUUUAUACAGAUCUCUAGGGUCCUCUGUC